CAGUAGCCGCGGGAAUACGAAGGGGGCUAGCGUUGUUCGGAUUUACUGGGCGUAAAGCGCACGUAGGCGGACUUUUAAGUCAGGGGUGAAAUCCCGGGGCUCAACCCCGGAACUGCCUUUGAUACUGUCGAUCUGGAGUAUGGAAGAGGUGAGUGGAAUUCCGAGUGUAGAGGUGAAAUUCGUAGAUAAUCGGAGGAACACCAGUGGCGAGGGCGGCUCACUGGUCCAUUACUGACGCUGAGGUGCGAAAGCGUGGGGAGCAAACAGGAUUAGAUACCCCCGUAGUCCCUGUCUCUUAUAA
rnacentral:rRNA from 1 species